AUUGAACGCUAGCGGGAUGCUUUACACAUGCAAGUCGAACGAGUGGCGGACGGGUGAGUAAUGUAUGGGGACUGCCCGAUAGAGGGGGAUAACUACUGGAAACGGUAGCUAAUACCGCAUACUAUCGGAUAACCCAUAUGGGAUUAGCUAGUAGGUGAGGUAAUGGCUCACCUAGGCGACGAUCCCUAGCUUGUCUGGGAGGAUGAUAAGCCACACUGGGACUGAGCAACGGCCCAGACUCUUAGGGAGGCAGCAUUGGGGAAUAUUGCACAAGGGGCGCAAGCCUGAUGCAGCCAUGCCGCGUGUAUGAAGAAGGCCUUAGGUUUGUAAAGUACUUUCAGUCGGGAGGCGUUACCGACAGAAGAAGCACCGGCUAACUCCGUGCCAGCAGCCGCGGUAAUAC
rnacentral:rRNA from 1 species